rnacentral:rRNA from 1 species
UACGAAGGGGGCUAGCGUUGUUCGGAGUUACUGGGCGUAAAGGGUGUGUAGGCGGUUCUUUAAGUUCGCUGUGAAAUCUCCCGGCUUAACCGGGAGGGUGCGGUGAAUACUGAGGGACUAGAGUACGGGAGAGGAAAGUGGAAUUCCUGGUGUAGCGGUGAAAUGCGUAGAUAUCAGGAGGAACACCGGUGGUGUAGACGGCUUUCUGGACCGUAACUGACGCUGAGACACGAAAGCGUGGGUAGCAAACAGG